CGGAAACAUUCCAAUUCAGAAUUCCUAACUAGUAUAUAAUCUGUACGUGCAUCACUCUUAAUUUUCACCCUUAAAAUUGAGUGAACGUGUUUCUUUUAUGGACCUGUGUACUAUCCACAUUUUGGUAUACUUCUGGUGAUUUCUUUACUUCGCGUAGGCGUUCAGAACGGCGCUACAGUUGAUAAAUGAAAGGACUUAUCCUUGUCUAUUUUAUGCGGGACCAUGGAGCCGCACAAAUUCUCCUUUAAAAGAAUCUGUUCAGGAAGGCGACUUCAAGCAUUUGCGUCAAUUAUAGCGGCGCUAAAUGCGGUAUCAGAUGGAAUGCAUAUCGGUUGGUCUUCACCUAUAAUCCCCCGAUUACUUUCACCAUCAUCGCCCAUCCCAGUCACAAGGGAAGAUGUACCUUGGUUGGAGAAUAGUUAUAUGGUGGGAGUUUUAGUGGCAGUAAUACCUUUGGCCUAUUUAUCGGAUCAAAUCGGGCGCAAAAUGACAAUACUUGUAGCUUGCGUUAUUCAACUAUCGGCAUGGGUGCUUUUCAUAUUUGCAACAACACCAACAGCACUAAUAAUUGCACGUCUCUUAGCAGGAAUUGGAGGACAAGUUAAUUAUAUAACCACGCCAGUUUAUGUUACUGAAAUAUCUGAUAAAGGUAUACGGGGUCGGUUAGGAUCCAUCGUUUUCAUCAUGGGACCUAUUGGAAUUUUAACGGUGUAUGCCCUUGGAGCUUAUACUGCGACCAUUAACACGUAUAUUUUCGGAGCAGCUCUUGUAGUUAUCAUCUUGUUAAUAUUCCCUAUGAUGCCAGAAAGUCCAUACUACCUAUUGCUUAAAGACAAAAAAGAGGAAGCUAGAACACAACUAAUGCGGUUACGUUCAGUGGAGAAUGUGGACGAAGAGAUAGACGACAUGAUCAUUGUCGCAUGUGGGGUUGACAUGAGCAUCAAACGUUUUAUCUCCAUCUUUACAGCCAAGGGGAAUUUAAAGGCGCUCAUAAUAACAAUGGUUCUCAACGCUUCCAACAAUUUCAGUGGGUUUAUUGUGUUAAUGAUGAAUAUGGAAACUAUUUUUUCGGAACUAACAGCGAAUAUCUCAGCAAGCACAUUUGGCGUUCUGAUCGCAGUGGUUGUAAUAAUUUCAAGUUUGAUAGGUGCCUCAUUAUUGGACUGCCUGGGAAGGAGAAUGCUGCUAAUCCUCUCAUGCUUCCUCACAUCGGCUUUCCUGAUGUUUAUAGCGAUAUAUCUUACAGCAAAAGGCAACGGCUGGGAUCUGACCCACUUCAGUUGGGUACCGAUUGUGGCGAUCGUUGGGCACGGAGUUACCCAAAAAGGGGGCAUAGGACUGAUUCCGAUCUUACUGUCUGCAGAAAUAUUUCCCAGGAACUUAACGGCUAUGGGGUGCGCCUUUGGUUCCAUGCUGUACAGUGUUAGCGGUAUCGCGUCCUUGCUUAUAUACCAGUACGCAAAUGCAUAUAUUGGUGUAAAUGCACCAUUCUACAUUUUUGGGGCCUACAUGUUAUUUGCGGGAACAUUUUGCGUAUUCAUGGUACCGGAAACAAAGAAGAAAUCGUUACACGAAACUCAAGAAUUAUGUAAUCAGAAAGUAGGUGAACAGGACAGUAGAGUACAACAUUGCUAACUUGUAAACAUUCAUCAUGCAGGUACCAAUGGAAUAAAAAUUAGAAUGUCAUGGUAUUAGUGCCAUUGCUCGUAAGUGAAUAAAUUUACAUGUGCAUCUUGUUUUAUUUAAUCCCAAUCGCUAAUCUAACAAGACGGGACUUCUCAUUUUGCACAGAAUAUUAGACAAUUCUUGG